rnacentral:rRNA from 1 species
UGGGGAAUAUUGGACAAUGGGCGAAAGCCUGAUCCAGCCAUGCCGCGUGUGUGAAGAAGGUCUUCGGAUUGUAAAGCACUUUAAGUUGGGAGGAAGGGCAGUAAGCGAAUACCUUGCUGUUUUGACGUUACCGACAGAAUAAGCACCGGCUAACUCUGUGCCAGCAGCCGCGGUAAUACAGAGGGUGCGAGCGUUAAUCGGAUUUACUGGGCGUAAAGCGUGCGUAGGCGGCUGAUUAAGUCGGAUGUGAAAUCCCUGAGCUUAACUUAGGAAUUGCAUUCGAUACUGGUUAGCUAGAGUGUGGGAGAGGAUGGUAGAAUUCCAGGUGUAGCGGUGAAAUGCGUAGAGAUCUGGAGGAAUACCGAUGGCGAAGGCAGCCAUCUGGCCUAACACUGACGCUGAGGUACGAAAGCAUGGGGAGCAAACAGG